rnacentral:rRNA from 1 species
UACGUAGGGGGCAAGCGUUGUCCGGAUUUAUUGGGCGUAAAGAGCGUGUAGGCGGCCUGGAAGGUCAGCUGUGAAAACUCGAGGCUCAACCUCGAGACGUCGGUUGAAACCACCUGGCUAGAGUCCGGAAGAGGAGAGUGGAAUUCCCGGUGUAGCGGUGAAAUGACGCAGAUAUCGGGAAGAACACCCGUGGCGAAGGCGGCUCUCUGGGACGGUACUGACGCUGAGACGCGAAAGCGUGGGGAGCAAACAGGG